rnacentral:rRNA from 1 species
AGCGAACGCUGGCGGCAGGCCUAACACAUGCAAGUCGAGCGGGCACUUUCGGGUGUCAUCGGCGGACGGGUGAGUAACGCCUGGGGACGUGCGCUCUGGUUCGGAAUAACUCAGGGGAACUUGAGCUAAUACCGGAAACGCCCCUAUGGCGAAAGGCUUGCUACCGGAGUAUCGAGGCGCGCCUGAUUCGCUAGUUGGUGAGAUAACGGCGCCCCAAGUCGACGAGCUGUAGGGGGUCUGAGAGGAUGAUCCGACACACUGUGGCUGGGACACGGCCGGGACUCUUGGGGGAGGCAGCAAUGGGGAAUAUUGGACUAUGGGCGCAAGCCUGAUCCAGCCAGGCCGGGAGAGUGAUUAAGUCGUGAGGGUUGUAAAGCACUUUUAUCCGCGACGAUAAUGACGGUACCGAAGGAAUAAGCCCCGGCUAACUUCGUG